UACGGAGGAUCCAAGCGUUGUCCGGAUUUAUUGGGUUUAAAGGGUGCGUAGGCGGAUUGAUAAGUUAGAGGUGAAAUGUCCGAGCUCAACUCGGGAACUGCCUCUAAUACUGUUGAUCUAGAGAGUAGAUGCGGUAGGCGGAAUGUAUGGUGUAGCGGUGAAAUGCUUAGAGAUCAUACAGAACACCGAUUGCGAAGGCAGCUUACCAAUCUAUAUCUGACGUUGAGGCACGAAAGCGUGGGGAGCAAACAGG
rnacentral:rRNA from 1 species